rnacentral:lncRNA from 1 species
GACUAUUUCAUCGUCUUCUUCACAAAGUCGCGUUUAAACUCGCCAAAUCCAUGGCGAGUGAUUCCAAACUCAUAACCACACGUCCCUCCAUCUCUCAUCUUGCCUUUUCUAAUGGUUUCUGACACCAAGAUUCCCCCAUCUUCUCACUCGCUCGAAUUUGAGAUAUAUCUCACGAUUGGAAGGUUCGGAGAACGAUUUUGUUGGAUGAAUGUGAGGCGUUGGAUUAAUUUCACUCAAUCUGAGCCCCAUAUUCAUCAAGGGUUCGUUUUCAAAAGGUAACCUCAUCCGAUUUUGAGAAAAAAAAAGAAUUCUGGUAAAAAAAACUGGGGAGAGUAGAAAAAAUAUAUGGAAGAAAAGGUUUAAGUAUUUUUGGAGGCUUCUUCUUUUUUGGGUUUUGCUCUUCAGAAAUUUUAUUCUUCUAUUUUCAAUUGUUCUUUUAAUUUUGUGGCAUCCGAACAGAGAAAAGAGAUAUAGAGUUUUAAUUUUGAGUUUCAAAGUUUUGUUUCUUCUGAUUUUAGGGAUACAGAAAAAAAAAACGAAAAAAAGUUGUUUAUUUCUGAUCUACUCUGCUCAAAUCCGAAAAUGGAUUCCGCUAUUGGACAUCGAUUUUAAAUCUAUUUUCUUAAGCAUGGGGAUUAUUUGAAGUGUUGAAGCUGAGAUUGAGAACUCUUUCUUCCUUUGCUUUGAGACUAAUUUUCUGGGAGUUCAAGUGCUUUAUUGAACUAUAUUGUUGUUGUUCGUGGCUGUUGGUCCCUGCAUCGCAGUUUGUUUUAUUUUCAGCGUUGAAUUUCUCAUUGUAUACUCACAAUCAAAGUUUAAUCGAAAGCUCAAUUUCAGGUUCAUUUGCUGAUUCUUUCUCUUAUCUUGUUUGUGAUAUGAUUAAAAUGUGGUAAGAAUCUUAGGUUUGUUAGUUCGGCAAGUUGUUUGCGGUUUGGGUGCAAGGGUCGAUUGGUGACUAAUUUGAGUACAAUAUCUGGUAUAUUUGAAAUUAUUUCAACAUUUUGAGGUUGUGUUUGAUCUUUUCUCUUAGUCUUAUAUGAUUCAAUUUGAAUUUGGCAAAUAGCAUGUUUAGUUGUUGAGUAAGAAUGGCUAAGUCGCAAUUUAGUUUUGAAUUAAGCUGCUGGCAAUACUUCACUAACACUUUGGUUCAUUGUCUAAAUAUGCUUGUCUCUGUUUGCUUGGAUCGACUCGUCUCCAGCUUAUUAAGUCCUUGAUCUGUUCGUCUUCGCUAGCAUCUGCUUGACAUUUGCAUCGAGUUGUUUCCUUGUCUCCAUGUGGAAAUGCACUCUGAUCUUCAUGCUGUAAAAAUUAUGCAUCAAUUGUAUUCAUGAAGCAGUUCCUUUGAGCAUUUUGUCUGUUUUCUUGAGGUUUCACUUGAGAUACGUUACUUAAAUCCAAAAACUAAGUCUUGGUAAUUCUUCUUGAGUUCUUAGGAUAGUAAUAGUGUCUAGGUUGAAUCUUAGUGAUCCAUGUUGUAUCAUGUUCUGUUUGAUUUCAAAAUCUGGCACUAAUCUGCAUUGGUUUAUGUUUUACUAAGUUAGACCCGUGUUAGUUUGUCUUGGUUUCUUCAUCUUGAAUGACACGGGCAGUAGGAUUCUUUGUUGACUGCAAGAAUUUGUGAACCUGGUACGCUGCUUGACGAUUCAUUCUUUUCAGAUCUUGGUUUAAAUUGGUGUUGAAACUCAACUGUUUCGCUGCUUGUAUAUGUGUAGAUUUGCUCUAUUUUCCUUC